GAGAUUCACCUAACUUUAAAUGAUUUGGUGGGGCCAUUCUGAAUAGACAAUAACGAUUAGUCCUUUUUCUAAGGAGUAUCAUACAUUUCUAAGUGGAUUGUUUAUAUCUGAAUGUUUGUUGCUCAUCUCAAUUCACAUUAUAAGGUUAAGAUGUGGUUUUAUUUUAUGGUUUAAUUUAUGCUCACUUAUGCUAAUUGAGGCUUGGACUAGUAGUUUGUAAGGAGUAAACAGACUAUUUUUUUCAGAUAUUCAUAUUUUGAUCAUGGCUUAAUUGUACAAAUUGUCAUUUUUGAUAUUGCAUUGACCUUUUCCAAACAUAGCUAUUUUGUAUAAAGACUUACCUUUUUUUUAAAAAAAUCAUUUCUGCAUCUUCUUCUCUAUUUUCUUCAGUUGAGGUGUGGCUUAAACUACCUUUCAGUGGAAUAAAUACUGUGACCUCUCAGCGCCACGGUGCCCUCGAGGAAGUUCUUCGUGGGGAGGGGAGCAUGUGGAGGGGGACAGGAAGAUGUAUGGGUGGAAGAAGAACCUGGAGGAACUCAUCACCACUCCGAACACGACCAUGGUGCUGGCUGACAUGACAUCGAAGUGAUUUGUGCACCCCCCCCCCCCCCCAACUGCCUAAUCGACUUUGUCCGACAGAAGCUAGAUCCCAAGAUUGCUGUGGCUGUGCAGAACUGCUACAAAGUGCCUAACGCAGCCUUUA
rnacentral:lncRNA from 1 species